rnacentral:rRNA from 1 species
CCUACGGGAGUCAGCAGUGAGGAAUAUUGGUCAAUGGACGAGAGUCUGAACCAGCCAAGUAGCGUGAAGGAUGACUGCCCUAUGGGUUGUAAACUUCUUUUAUAUGGGAAUAAAAUGUUCCACGUGUGGGAUUUUGUAUGUACCAUAUGAAUAAGGAUCGGCUAACUCCGUGCCAGCAGCCGCGGUAAUACGGAGGAUCCGAGCGUUAUCCGGAUUUAUUGGGUUUAAAGGGAGCGUAGGUGGAUUGUUAAGUCAGUUGUGAAAGUGUGCGGCUCAACCGUAAAAUUGCAGUUGAAACUGGCAGUCUUGAGUACAGUAGAGGUGGGCGGAAUUCGUGGUGUAGCGGUGAAAUGCUUAGAUAUCACGAAGAACCCCGAUUGCGAAGGCAGUUCACUGGACUGCAACUGACACUGAGGCUCGAAAGUGUGGGUAUCAAACAGGAUUAGAUACCCGUGUAGUC